GCCUACAUGAAGCUGGAGUUACUAGUAAUCGCAGAUCAGAAUGCUGCGGUGAAUGCGUUCCCGGGUCUUGUACACACCGCCCGUCACACCACGGGAGUUGGAGACGCCCGAAGCCGAUUAUCUAACCGUUUGGAAGAAGUCGUCGAAGGUGGAAUCAAUAACUGGGGUGAAGUCGUAACAAGGUAGCCGUAUCGGAAGGUGCGGCUGGAUCACCUCCUUUCUAAGGAGA
rnacentral:rRNA from 1 species